UCGUUUAGUGCCAGUGAGUCUAAGCUUUGGACUUUUAGCAUAGUUCAGCUUUGGACAGAAUGGCGGUAGGUUUUUGGAGCUUGUAAAAAUUUUAUUCAGGAGAGGGUAUUUGAUGACAAUCCCGAUU